rnacentral:piRNA from 1 species
UUCUAAAUGAAUUGAUUUCUUCAGUUUUGC